GACGAACGCUGGCGGCGUGCCUAAUACAUGCAAGUAGAACGCUGAAGGAGGAGCUUGCUUCUCUGGAUGAGUUGCGAACGGGUGAGUAACGCGUAGGUAACCUGCCUGGUAGCGGGGGAUAACUAUUGGAAACAAUAGCUAAUACCGCAUAAGAGUAGAUGUUGCAUGACAUUUGCUUAAAAGGUGCAAUUGCAUCACUACCAGAUGGACCUGCGUUGUAUUAGCUAGUUGGUGGGGUAACGGCUCACCAAGGCGACGAUACAUAGCCGACCUGAGAGGGUGAUCGGCCACACUGGGACGGAGACACGGCCCAGACUCCUACGGGAGGCAGCAGUAGGGAAUCUUCGGCAAUGGACGGAAGUCUGACCGAGCAACGCCGCGUGAGUGAAGAAGGGUUUCGGAUCGUAAAGCUCUGUUGUAAGAGAAGAACGAGUGUGAGAGUGGAAAGUUCACACUGUGACGGUAUCUUACCAGAAAGGGACGGCUAACUACGUG
rnacentral:rRNA from 1 species